rnacentral:rRNA from 1 species
AUUGAACGCUGGCGGCAGGCCUAACACAUGCAAGUCGAGCGAGCGGCGGACGGGUGAGUAAUGUCUGGGAAACUGCCCGCUGGCGGGGGAUCACUAAUGGAAACGGUAGCUAAUACCGCAUACCAUCAGACGUGCCCAGUUGGCAUUAGCUAGUAGGUGGGGUAACGCCUCACCUAGGCGACGAUCCCUAGCUGGUCUGGGAGGAUGACCAGCCUCGCUGGAAGUGAGACACGGUCCAAUCUCCUACGGGAGGCGGGGGUGGGUAAUAGUGCACAAUGGGCGCAAUCCGGAUGCAGCCUGGCCUCGUGUGUCAAGAAGGCCUUCGGGUUGUAAAGCACUUUCUGCCGGGAGGCGUUACCCGCCGAGGAUGCACCGGCUAACUCCGUGCCAGCGGCCGCGUAAUAC